rnacentral:rRNA from 1 species
CGGUAGAGUAGCAAUACUUGAGAGUGGCGAACGGGUGAGUAUAUAUCGGAACGUGCCCAGUCGUGGGGGAUAACGUAGAGAAAUUUACGCUAAUACCGCAUACGAUCUACGGAUGAAAGCGGGGGAUUCGCAAGAACCUCGCGCGAUUGGAGCGGCUGAUAUCAGAUUAGGUUGUUGGUGAGGUAAAAGCUCACCAAGCCGACGAUCUGUAGCUGGUUUGAGAGAACGACCAGCCACACUGGGACUGAGACACGGCCCAGACUCCUACGGGAGGCAGCAGUGGGGAAUUUUGGACAAUGGGCGAAAGCCUGAUCCAGCAAUGCCGCGUGCAGGAAGAAGGCCUUCGGGUUGUAAACUGCUUUUGUACGGAACGAAACGGUCCGCUUUAAUACAGUGGGCUAAUGACGGUACCGUAAGAAUCAGCACCGGCUAACUACGUGCCAGCAGCCGCGGUAAUACGUAGGGUGCGAGCGUUAAUCGGAAUUACUGGGCGUAAAGCGUGAGCAGGCGGUUAUAUAAGACAAUUGUGAAAUCCCCGGGCUCAACUUGGGAAUUGCAUCUGUGACUGUAUAGCUA